GGGUUGUGAGGUUAAGCGACUAAGCGUACACGGUGGAUGCCCUGGCAGUCAGAGGCGAUGAAGGACGUGCUAAUCUGCGAUAAGCGUCGGUAAGGUGAUAUGAACCGUUAUAACCGGCGAUUUCCGAAUGGGGAAACCCAGUGUGAUUCGUCACACUAUCAUUAACUGAAUCCAUAGGUUAAUGAGGCGAACCGGGGGAACUGAAACAUCUAAGUACCCCGAGGAAAAGAAAUCAACCGAGAUUCCCCCAGUAGCGGCGAGCGAACGGGGAGCAGCCCAGAGCCUGAAUCAGUGUGUGUGUUAGUGGAAGCGUCUGGAAAGGCGCGCGAUACAGGGUGACAGCCCCGUACACAAAAAUGCACAUGCUGUGAGCUCGAUGAGUAGGGCGGGACACGUGGUAUCCUGUCUGAAUAUGGGGGGACCAUCCUCCAAGGCUAAAUACUCCUGACUGACCGAUAGUGAACCAGUACCGUGAGGGAAAGGCGAAAAGAACCCCGGCGAGGGGAGUGAAAAAGAACCUGAAACCGUGUACGUACAAGCAGUGGGAGCACGCUUAGGCGUGUGACUGCGUACCUUUUGUAUAAUGGGUCAGCGACUUAUAUUCUGUAGCAAGGUUAACCGAAUAGGGGAGCCGAAGGGAAACCGAGUCUUAACUGGGCGUUAAGUUGCAGGGUAUAGACCCGAAACCCGGUGAUCUAGCCAUGGGCAGGUUGAAGGUUGGGUAACACUAACUGGAGGACCGAACCGACUAAUGUUGAAAAAUUAGCGGAUGACUUGUGGCUGGGGGUGAAAGGCCAAUCAAACCGGGAGAUAGCUGGUUCUCCCCGAAAGCUAUUUAGGUAGCGCCUCGUGAAUUCAUCUCCGGGGGUAGAGCACUGUUUCGGCAAGGGGGUCAUCCCGACUUACCAACCCGAUGCAAACUGCGAAUACCGGAGAAUGUUAUCACGGGAGACACACGGCGGGUGCUAACGUCCGUCGUGAAGAGGGAAACAACCCAGACCGCCAGCUAAGGUCCCAAAGUCAUGGUUAAGUGGGAAACGAUGUGGGAAGGCCCAGACAGCCAGGAUGUUGGCUUAGAAGCAGCCAUCAUUUAAAGAAAGCGUAAUAGCUCACUGGUCGAGUCGGCCUGCGCGGAAGAUGUAACGGGGCUAAACCAUGCACCGAAGCUGCGGCAGCGACGCUGAUGCGUUGUUGGGUAGGGGAGCGUUCUGUAAGCCUGCGAAGGUGUGCUGUGAGGCAUGCUGGAGGUAUCAGAAGUGCGAAUGCUGACAUAAGUAACGAUAAAGCGGGUGAAAAGCCCGCUCGCCGGAAGACCAAGGGUUCCUGUCCAACGUUAAUCGGGGCAGGGUGAGUCGACCCCUAAGGCGAGGCCGAAAGGCGUAGUCGAUGGGAAACAGGUUAAUAUUCCUGUACUUGGUGUUACUGCGAAGGGGGGACGGAGAAGGCUAUGUUGGCCGGGCGACGGUUGUCCCGGUUUAAGCGUGUAGGCUGGUUUUCCAGGCAAAUCCGGAAAAUCAAGGCUGAGGCGUGAUGACGAGGCACUACGGUGCUGAAGCAACAAAUGCCCUGCUUCCAGGAAAAGCCUCUAAGCAUCAGGUAACAUCAAAUCGUACCCCAAACCGACACAGGUGGUCAGGUAGAGAAUACCAAGGCGCUUGAGAGAACUCGGGUGAAGGAACUAGGCAAAAUGGUGCCGUAACUUCGGGAGAAGGCACGCUGAUAUGUAGGUGAAGUCCCUCGCGGAUGGAGCUGAAAUCAGUCGAAGAUACCAGCUGGCUGCAACUGUUUAUUAAAAACACAGCACUGUGCAAACACGAAAGUGGACGUAUACGGUGUGACGCCUGCCCGGUGCCGGAAGGUUAAUUGAUGGGGUUAGCGCAAGCGAAGCUCUUGAUCGAAGCCCCGGUAAACGGCGGCCGUAACUAUAACGGUCCUAAGGUAGCGAAAUUCCUUGUCGGGUAAGUUCCGACCUGCACGAAUGGCGUAAUGAUGGCCAGGCUGUCUCCACCCGAGACUCAGUGAAAUUGAACUCGCUGUGAAGAUGCAGUGUACCCGCGGCAAGACGGAAAGACCCCGUGAACCUUUACUAUAGCUUGACACUGAACAUUGAGCCUUGAUGUGUAGGAUAGGUGGGAGGCUUUGAAGUGUGGACGCCAGUCUGCAUGGAGCCGACCUUGAAAUACCACCCUUUAAUGUUUGAUGUUCUAACGUUGACCCGUAAUCCGGGUUGCGGACAGUGUCUGGUGGGUAGUUUGACUGGGGCGGUCUCCUCCUAAAGAGUAACGGAGGAGCACGAAGGUUGGCUAAUCCUGGUCGGACAUCAGGAGGUUAGUGCAAUGGCAUAAGCCAGCUUGACUGCGAGCGUGACGGCGCGAGCAGGUGCGAAAGCAGGUCAUAGUGAUCCGGUGGUUCUGAAUGGAAGGGCCAUCGCUCAACGGAUAAAAGGUACUCCGGGGAUAACAGGCUGAUACCGCCCAAGAGUUCAUAUCGACGGCGGUGUUUGGCACCUCGAUGUCGGCUCAUCACAUCCUGGGGCUGAAGUAGGUCCCAAGGGUAUGGCUGUUCGCCAUUUAAAGUGGUACGCGAGCUGGGUUUAGAACGUCGUGAGACAGUUCGGUCCCUAUCUGCCGUGGGCGCUGGAGAACUGAGGGGGGCUGCUCCUAGUACGAGAGGACCGGAGUGGACGCAUCACUGGUGUUCGGGUUGUCAUGCCAAUGGCACUGCCCGGUAGCUAAAUGCGGAAGAGAUAAGUGCUGAAAGCAUCUAAGCACGAAACUUGCCCCGAGAUGAGUUCUCCCUGACUCCUUGAGAGUCCUGAAGGAACGUUGAAGACGACGACGUUGAUAGGCCGGAUGUGUAAGCGCAGCGAUGCGUUGAGCUAACCGGUACUAAUGAACCGUGAGGCUUAACCUUACAACGCCGAAGGUGUUU
rnacentral:rRNA from 1 species